rnacentral:rRNA from 1 species
AUGGCUUUCCACCAAAGGUCGACAAGUUUGCCUUCUAGGCCUCACAUCAGUGAGACCGAAGUCGAGCAAGAGCUCCACAGCCUAGAAGCAAGCAUCUCUUCCUGCAAUUCCAUCAACACGAUGUGCGUUGGUCUCAGGAGUCUUGCAAACAUCUACGAUGCUCUUGAAGAGAUUAUUUGCCUACCAAGCAACCAAGUUUGUUCCUCCCAGCAGAGGAACAUAUUGGAUGGAGAAAUGGAAGGUUCUCUCGAGCUCCUUGAUCUCUGCGGUGCCAUGCAAGAGAUCUUCGUCGAGAUGAAGGCCAUCAUCCAAGAGCUGCAAGUGGCUCUAAGGAAAGGGGAUGUUGCAGCUUCCCAAGCCAAGAUCCAGUCUUACACCCACUUGGCGAAGAAGGCCAGGAGCCAUUUCAAGAAGGCCACG